GGGGGGGGUGGCAGGGAGAGAAAUGCAGGCUUCUGGAGGAAGGUGAGAGCAUCCUUGCACAAAGAACUUGUUACAGAGGAUUGGCAGAGAGGUCACUAAUUUCUUCUACAGCUUCCAACCUGCUUCCAGCAAAGGGGAAUGGCAAGAUGAACAUCAAUGUCAGACUGACCAUUUGUGCUGCAAUGACCAUUUUAUUGCUAAAGAAGAGCCCUGGUACAGAAUGAUUCCUAUACAUGGAACCACGGGGCAGCAUGUGGUGAAGUGGUAGAGCUCUGGAGACCCGGGUUCGAUCCUGACUACGGGUGCUGCCUGCACGGAGUUUAUACCUUCCCCCCGUGACCUGCGGGGGUUUACUCCUCCCCCACUCCAAAGGCGUUCAAUGAAUUAAAUAAAUCGGGAAGGUUGUUAUCAAGAAUCAAAUACAAUUCAAGUCAAGAAUGUUUAAUGGUCAAAAACAGAACAAAGGAGGGCAAUAAAAGAACUUCCCAUGCCGCCGUACGGUACAUUCACUGGCUGUGGCUGAAGAGGAAAGAUGCUGUCUGGGCUGCCACGGGACCAUUUAGAGGUUAACCAUAAGACACACACCCGGGUCUGAUCACCCUGCGGUGGGCCUGCCUCGACUGAGGGUGUCUUGUGAUAAAAGGCCCAAACACCCAGUGACGUUGAGGUACACAACUGAAGAUGUGUCUGAUUGUUAGCAAAUUCAAUUGUAGUGAAAUCAUAGGGAUUGUAACACCCAGUCCUAUUAGUCAAUCUUACUUGCUGCGUUUAACUAUUACUAACCGUAAAUGCAACAAUGCACAGAUAAUAUAUAAUGACCAAAAAUACAAAAAAACAUUUUUAUGAUAACCAUAAAACUGCAAAAACGGUGUCCAUAGUGCAACCAAAUGCACAGUCCCUGGAAGAUCACAGUUGCUGUGGUUAGUGUUGUGUAGCGCUGGUUGCUGGGAAGAAGCUGUUCUUGAACCAGGUGGCCAGGUGUCCUGGCUCUUGCACCUUCUCUCCAAUGAUAGUAGCAAAAUGACCAGGAUAGUGGGGAAGUUUGUAUCUGGGAUGGAUCGGGCAGAGCUGCCCCUUCUGCAUUUAGGUUGGCAAACUAGGCCAUGACAUACUCAAUCAAUAUGCUCUCCUUCAUACACCGGUGGAAGGAAGUUCAACAGAGUAUUUGUCGAUAUACCCGUUCUCCUCAAUCCUCUAUGGAAGUAGAGACACGAUGAGCUUUCUUUCUGAUUGCAUUGAGUCCUGGGCCCAGGACAAAUCUUCAGAGAGAUGCACGCUCAGGAACUUGAAGUGUUUAGUCUCUCUCACAACCCCAUUGAUGAAGACUGGUUCAUCAAUCCCUGGCUUUCCCCUUCUGAAGUCAACAAUCAGAUCCCUGGUCUUGCUAACAUUGAGAACAAGAUUAUUGGCACCAUUCCGUCAGAUUUUCAAUGCCCCUCCCCCCUGUUCUCUCUCAUCGCCAGCCAUUAUGCAUCCAACAAUAGUGAUAAUGUCAGUAAAUUUAAAGAUGGUGUUGGAACAAAGUCCAGCUGCUGGAUUCUUGUUGAAAAAACUCUGGUUCACUUCAAGGAAGAAAAUCUAUAUCCUAACCAGGUCGGCCUGUGUGAGUUUAGACUCAUAAUGAUAUGGUUAACUCUUAACUGCCCUCUAAAUUGUCUGAGUAUGCCAUUCAUUUGUGAAAGGUUACUACCACUUAGAAUGUGAUUCUACAAAGUUACUCUUCUCUACAAUGGUGUUAAAUACCAUUUUUUUUAUCAGUGACUGGUUAUUAUAAAUGACAAAUAAUUGAAUAUUAUUGAUGUUUAAAAAAAAUUAAUGUAUAUUAACUGUGUGUGUUUGCAUUGACUGGUCUGUUAAGCAGCUGCGAGUGAGAAUUUCAUUGUUCCCUUGUCGGUAUAUAUGACAAUUAUAACACUCUUGACAUCCUUGUACCAAUACUGAAUAUUAAAAAAUGGACUUUGUAGAAUUGGUUGUAUUCUGUACAAAGGAACCUCUGUCAUCUGUCUUGGGACUCCAGCGUCAGCCUGCAGUCUCAUCCUGAGUUGACUGCUAGUCUAGGGUGGCAUGGUGGGGCAGCGGUAGAGUUGCUGCCUUACAGCGCCAGAGACCCAGGUUUGAUCCUGACCACAGGUGCUGUCUGUACAGAGUUUGUAUAUUCUCUCUGUGACCUGCGUGGGUUUUCUCCAAGAUCUUCGGUUUCCUCCCACACUCCAAAGGUGUACAGGUUUGCAGGUUAAUUGGCUUGGUAUAAAUGUAAAUUGUCCCUAGUGUGUGUAGGAUAGUGCUAGUGUGCGGG